CGGGGUGUGGCGCAGCCUGGUAGCGCACCUGAAUUGGGAUCAGGCGGUCGCCCGUUCAAAUCGGGCCACCCCGA
rnacentral:tRNA from 1 species